GUCCCCAUCGUCUAGCCCGGUCCAGGACCCCAGAUUUUCAUUCUGGUUACAGGAGUUCAAAUCUCCUUGGGGACGCCA
rnacentral:tRNA from 1 species